GUGUCAGCAGCCGCGGUAAUACGAAGGGUGCAAGCGUUAUCCGGAUUCAUUGGGUUUAAAGGGUGCGUAGGUGGGGCGGUAAGUCAGUGGUGAAAUCCUGCAGCUUAACUGUAGAAUCGCCAUUGAUACUGUCGCUCUUGAGUACGCUUGACGUGGGCGGAAUGUGCCGUGUAGCGGUGAAAUGCUUAGAUAUGGCACAGAACACCGAUAGUGAAGACAGCUCACGAAGGCGAAACUGACACUGAGGCACGAAAGCGUGGGGAUCGAACAGGAUUAGAUACCCUGGUAGUCC
rnacentral:rRNA from 1 species